rnacentral:rRNA from 1 species
GAGUUUGAUCCUGGCUCAGGACGAACGCUGGCGGCGCGCCUAAUACAUGCAAGUCGAACGGGUACCUCUUCGGAGGUGCUAGUGGCGGACGGGUGAGUAACACGUGGGCGACCUGCCUUUGAGUGGGGAAUAACGCUGGGAAACCAGCGCUAAUACCGCAUGCGCUCUCGGUUUCAUUAUGAGAGGAAAGCUUAAUGCGCUCAAAGGAGGGGCCUGCGGCGGAUUAGCUAGUCGGUGGGGUCACGGCCUACCGAGGCGACGAUCCGUAGCUGGUCUGAGAGGAUGAUCAGCCACACUGGGACUGAGACACGGCCCAGACUCCUACGGGAGGCAGCAGUAAGGAAUCUUCCACAAUGGGGGCAACCCUGAUGGAGCGACGCCGCGUGGACGAAGAAGCUUCUCGGAGUGUAAAGUCCUUUUCCCUGCGAUGAGAGGGACAGUAGCAGGGGAAUAAGCCACGGCUAACUACGUGCCAGCAGCCGCGGUAAUACGUAGGUGGCGAGCGUUGUCCGGAAUUACCGGGUGUAAAGCGCGUGUAGGCGGGAGGCCAAGUCUGCGGUGAGAUCGCUCGGCUCAACUGGGCGGGGUCCGUGGAAACUGGUCACCUGGAGGACGGUAGAGGCGAGUGGAAUUCCCGGUGUAGUGGUGAAAUGCGUAGAGAUCGGGAGGAACACCAGUGGCGAAGGCGGCUCGCUGGGCCGGACCUGACGCUGAGACGCGAAGGCGUGGGGAGCGAACGGGAUUAGAUACCCCGGUAGUCCACGCAGUAAACGAUGCACACUAGGUGUGGGGGGUAUCGAGCCCCUCCGUGCCGUAGUUAACACAGUAAGUGUGCCACCUGGGGAGUACGGCCGCAAGGUUAAAACUCAAAGGAAUUGACGG